GCUGGAGCCAGGAUCCACUCCAUCCCAGGCCUCAUUUAAGAGUUGGCAGUGGAGGUGAGAAUAUCUUGCUGGAAAUCUCUGUCUACCUGAGUCCUUCCAAGGGCUUUGAAUACCCAAUGUCUGACAACUGAUGAAACGCAUCAGGCUCAAAAAAAAGCUGGAAAGCAGUAUCAGACCUUCUGGAUACAACAUGGACUUGAAGUUGAGCCAGUUUACUUUUUCAAGUCCCAGUAUGAACUAUGUCAGAAGAUGUUGCUCUCUGCAUCGGAUUCUCCAGUAAGGUCCUUCUUUGUCAUCCAACAAAUUGUCUAAAUGGACCAAGGAAGAUGACAGCUACUAACCUGUAAGUUGGGUCCCCUCCAUGUCUCCAUGCUGUCUGCUGCAGUAGAAGAAGCAGAGGACCAGCAGAUUUUCCACAGGAAGGAAACUGUAGCCUUCACUUUGACCCAUGAAAAGCAAGUCAAGAAGGGGACAUUCAUGCUUAGACACUGGAUACAGUGGGGUCAAGAUCCAGAGGAAAGUUGUGAGUAAAAGAUACCAUAGUGCAAAGUUGCUUAGUCACUUGUUUCCAGCAGAUACCACUGUAUAUGUAGUUUCUUGUUGUGAACACAUCUGAGACACUGUCUGUAUCUGCACUAGCAGGCACUAGUUCAUUGUAGGAGUAUCUCUUUAGAAAUAAAAACUUGCUCUUCACUUUUUAUUCAUGGUGUUGUGAGCACAUUAGGAGCUGAACUAGAUCUCAUUUUGUGUUUUAAAUUUAACCAGUUUCACCAGCACUGUCAUCUAGUUCAUUUCAGAAUGAACAAACUGCAAAAGGAGAUAACAGGAGAUGCAUUUCAGAAGGGAAUUCCUGAUAUAAACAGAAAUGAGCUCUAUUGUCUCCCAUUGUUGCAGUAUGUAUGCAACCAACAGCACUGCUGCACAAGGCAGCUGAAGGAUACUGAAUCAGCAAUUAGUCAGCUGCCUGGCUUCUCUUGAAGCAGUAGCAGGAUCUGAAAGAAAACACUUAGAGUUCAGAAAAACCACUGUGAAGAUAAGUAUCACAUGCAACAGUCUUCUACCCACUGCCAAACAGUAACAAGCCCAAACCUUAGAAAUGUAAGUCAUUUUUCUUUAGAAGACUGCAGGAAAAGCAGUGCUUUUUGGAGGAAACAUGAAAAAGGAAGCUGGGAAAACACAUACUAUGCCCCAUUCUGUUGGCACGUCAUAUAAGAAACACAAAGAGGAGUUGACUGUCUUACACAACAACCAGGCUAUAUUUUACUAUGUCCUGUACAAAAUAUAGCUAAAUGUACUCACUAAAAAAAAUGUAGUUAAACAGUUAUGUUAUGAAAACUUUGUUAGUACUUUGGCUUGUAUAUAGCUAGAGAAAGGAAAUCUAGAGUUCUGGCUGGAACAUCUACCUCAACCCACAGAGUCACUGGGGUUGGAAGAGACCUCUGGAGAUCCUCCAGGCCAGCCUUCUCUUAAUGCACGUUCCCUAGAGUAGGUUGCAGAGGAAGUCAUUGAGGUGGGUUUUGAAUACCUCCAGAGGAGACUCCACAAACUCUCUAGGCAGCUUACUCCAGUACUCUGUCACCUUCAAGGUAAAAAAAAAAGGUUUAUUCUAAUGUUCAUGGUUUGUUUUUUGUGUUCCAGUUUGUGCCCAUUGCCUCUUGUUCUCUUGCUGGCCACUGCUGAAAAGAAUCUGACGCCAUUUUCAUGGCUCCAGCCCUGUAGGUAUUUGUAGGCAUUGAUGAUAAGAUUCCCCUCAGUCUUCUCUUUCCCAGGCUGAACAACCCUAGGACUGUCAGCCUUUCCUCAUAAGGGAGAUGCUCCAGGCCAAAAAUCAAUCCUCUGAUUCUCUCUAGAAGUUCUCCAUCUUUCCUGAACUGGGUAACCCAGAACUGGACAUAAUAAUUGAGAUGUGGCCCCAUCAGGGCAGAGUAGAUGGGGAGGAUAACCUCCCUCAACCUGAUGGUCACUCUCUUUUUAAUGCACCCCAGAAUACCAUGGGCCUUCCUGACCACACAGGCAUGUCUCAUGGCAAUCCUGUUGUCCACCAAGACACCCACGUCCUUCUCCACAGUACUUCUUUCCAGCAGCUCAGUAACUAACCUGUAUGCAGUUAUUUCUCUCCAGGUGUCAGAUUCUUCACUUGCCUCUGUUGAACCUUACAAGGUUCCUCUCCGCCCAGCUUUCCAGCCUGUUUAGGUCUCCCUAAACAGCAGCACAGCCUUCUAGUGUGUCAGCCACUCUUCCCAGUUUCAUAUAAUUGUCAAACUUGCUGAGAGUGUAUUCUGUCCCCUCAUCCAGGCCAUGGAUGAAGAUACUAAGCAAGACCAGAAUUAGCACUGACCACUAGUGAGCACCUCUAGGCCUUCAACUAGACUCAGUUCUGCUGAUCUCAACCCUCUGUGCUCUGUCAGACAGAGGGUUCUCAAUCCACCUCAGCCAGUUUUCAG
rnacentral:lncRNA from 1 species